GGACAUGACUUGAGGAGUUCACAGGCACUUUUAAAAGUUAUUGCCUGGCUAUUUCCACAUGGAAGCAGUACACGUAGACUGAAAUAUUUCCCAUCUGCAUCCAUGAGCAGGAUCCGAGUCUUCCGUCAGGUCCUAUUUAUGGUUACAGCUCUGGAAUGAUUGUGUGGGUGGCUAAUGUAAAGUUUUUACAUCAAUGUAGGCACGUGAUUGCUUUGUAAAAUGUAUUUAUAUUUAUUCAUUAGUGGUAAACAUCUGUAAGAUUUAAGCAUUACGCUAGAAAUGGCCUGCAGUCUCAGUACCACGCCUGUACAAUGGAACAUUAGCAAGCUGCCUCACAGUCUUGUUGUGAGGGUGAACAAGGUAUGCCAUCUGCUUGCUGUGCCUUGCCAAUGGAACGAAUAGAUUUAAUCACCAGCACAACAGCAAAAACUGCCCUUUAAUUCUCAGAGACUGCAAGUUUUAUGACGUACUUUCCUACCAAGUCAGGAUUUCCUCUUACCUUGGGGUGUAAUGAACCCCAGCAUUAGUAAGUUUUUCCAGCAAUAUUGCUGCUCAUCAAAAGGAUGUCUGUCACAUGCAAAUGGCUCUCUUGAGUAAAAGUGGCUGCAUAUGAAAUUCAGGAUUUUGAUUUCGCAAUUCAUUCCACCCCCAAACAGGUAGAGUGUCUGAGUUUAUUUGCUAGUACCUGCACUGAUGUAGAGACAACAGGAAGGUAGGCACCACCUACUGCAGCCAACAUCAGGGCCGCUCCACAGGAGGAUUUCCUGUGAGAGAUUAUAGAAAUUUGAAGCUUGGCAACUGUCCACUUCCUAUCUGACCAGACAGUCAAGCCCUAAACUGCUGGUGACACCACCCUCUGCUCUACUGAAAUUAAUCAUUUCUUGGUUUUUUAAAAAAUAAAAUAAAAGCAAAGCGUU